rnacentral:rRNA from 1 species
AUUGAACGCUGGCGGCAGGCCUAACACAUGCAAGUCGAGCGGACGAAGGGAGCUUGCUCCUGGAUUCAGCGGCGGACGGGUGAGUAAGUCCUAGGAAUCUGCCUGGUAGUUGGGGAUAACGUCCGGAAACGGGCGCUAAUACCGCAUACGUCCUGAGGGAGAAAGGGAGGGAUCUUCGGACCUCACGCUAUCAGAUGAGCCUAGGUCGGAUUAGCUAGUUGGUUGGGUAAAGGCCUACCAAGGCGACGAUCCGUAACUGGUCUGAGAGGAUGAUCAGCCACACUGGAACUGAGACACGGUCCAGACUCCUACGGGAGGCAGCAGUGGGGAAUCUUGGACAAUGGGCGAAAGCCUGAUCCAGCCAUGCCGCGUGUGUGAAGAAGGUCUUCGGAUUGUAAAGCACUUUUAGUUGGGAGGAAGAGCAGUAAGUUAAUACCUUGCUGUUUUGACGUUACCAAAAGAAUAAGCACCGGCUAACUUCGUG